rnacentral:rRNA from 1 species
AUGGCCGUCGCCGACGCGGUGCUGCCCUCAGCGCCGCCGCUGGCCCCGCCGGCGCGGAUUCGUCGUGCGCUUCGCCCUCACCCCGAUGCUGGCGCUCGGCGCGUCCUCUGCGCCGCGGCGGGAGCCCUCACCUGCCUGUGCUUCUCCAUUGCAUGGGUCACCUCCGCGGCCGCGGCAGCGCGCAUCGUGACGCGCCGCGCCUUGGGCGACCGCUCUGCCCCCUUCCUCUUCCUCCAGGCGCUCAUAUACGGGGCUCUCAAGGUCUGCGUCUGCAGCUUCCUUGCGUUCCUCGCGCUUGCCGUCCUGGUGGCGUGCGUGGCCUACGUGAUUGCAGCUGUAUCUAGAUCCACUUCGGGAUUCAAGAAGAGCUCCUCCAGAGCAAUCAUGCGGGAAUCGGUUGCAGGCUUGUUUAUGCUAUUGUGCCCUGCGGUGUUUGUAUUUGUCGCAGAUGUGGCCUUCUUCCUACUAGUGGUCGUUGGUCAUCUGGUAGCAAUGAUGUUGCCACAUGUGGAGGGAUCGAUAUAUCAGGGGGGAAUGGUCGAUUCUGUAAUCAAGGAUGUGGGGAUAUUCGGUAUGCAUGCGACAACUUGCGUUGUGAUCCCAACACUCAUUCUUAGUCUCUGGAGGGAGUACCAGGCGGACAAGAAAGCAACAUUGCAGUACUGUUGA